ACAAUGAGGUAGGAGACAUUACAGACACUCAUAAGUCCUAUGAUUGUAUCCUUGAGGGAAGAAGUGAUAGCAAUCACAUGAGAGGCACUACAUUUUACAUCUUUCUUAAACUCAGCAAACCCUGAGGCAGGCGGAGUUAAACGCAGGUAGUUUCAGCAUUCUUGAUCUAACUUUCAACUGAAAUAACUCUGAAAAGAGGAGCAUGUUGUUCAGAGGGAAUGCUAUAUGCUUAAGGAAGCCCUCGCAAUCACUGUAACAUCAAAAAAGGUUUGUAUCCCCAGAAGCAUACCCUUUACACACCCACACUGAGUUAGGCAUGCCUACCUUGGAAAACUCAGGCUAUUCUUGACAACAAAGAUGAAUUGGACUGAUGUUAACCUCAGCAUCCCACUUUUUACAUUUUGCUUAUGGCACAAGGUCAGAUCACUUGCUUCCCUUGCUUUUGCAAAGUGACAAAGGCUGACUGCUGGGAGAAUCUAUUCUGCCCGACCAGUCACUGUAACUCACUAAUAGAUUAUAGAAAGCACUGCAAAAAAACCAAGAGUAUAUCAGAGAAAUCUGAGUAGGGUUUGUGUUAAGGGUAUGAAAAUCUGCAAUAAGAACAUCAUUUCCUUUUUAAUUGUGGUGGGAGAACUUAACAAAUCACCAUGGGUGGUGCUUCUUUAAAGGACAAAUGCAGAAAUGACUUGUAGGAGUUCUUGGGAAAAGUUCUGGAUAUUUUUUCUUGAUGGGGGGGAUUUUUUUUUAUUCUCUGGUUUUAAAAGGAAGAUCUUGUGGGCAAGAUGACAGUUGAAGAAUCAUGUAGAGCAACAUUACAUGCUGCUUCUUGGAGAGAUUGUAUACGUGUUAAUCGGCAUGAGUGUUUGGUUGCCAGCUAUAGUGUUAUGAAUGGGAUUCAGUCACCUGCAUAGAGAUACCAAGGAGCCAUUUCAGCAGUCUAAUGUAUUCCAUCAGGCUUUUUGCUACAUUUACAGAAGUUCUUAGCUUUUCCAGAAGUCCCAUACCAUAGUUACCACCCUCUGUGUGUCUCAGAUUCAGAAGGAAAAUUAUGA